rnacentral:snRNA from 1 species
CUUGAAUUAUAAUUACCA